GCUGGGUGUCAUGGUAUAUGUCUGUAAUCCCAGAUACCAGGGAGGUUAAGCCUUGGGAAUCUCUUAAGCUCAGGAGUUCUGACCUCCAGUGGAAAAGUUGAUUGGGUGUUCCAAUUAAGUUUAGUAUUAACAUAGUAAGGCCCUGGCCCUCUGAGAAGGUGAAAGAACUAGGUUGCCUAAGCAAGAGUGAAUUGACCCAAGUCAGAAAAGGAGUAGGUAAAAGUUCCCAUGUUAAUCAGGAUGGGAUCAAGCCAUAAGUAGUCCUCUUCACUUCCAGACUGGGUAAGAUGGGGAAAUCUAGUGUUUU
ensembl:misc_RNA Metazoa_SRP Metazoan signal recognition particle RNA